GACGUGCUAAUCUGCGAUAAGCGUCGGUAAGGUGAUAUGAACCGUUAUAACCGGCGAUUUCCGAAUGGGGAAACCCAGUGUGAUUCGUCACACUAUCAUUAACUGAAUCCAUAGGUUAAUGAGGCGAACCGGGGGAACUGAAACAUCUAAGUACCCCGAGGAAAAGAAAUCAACCGAGAUUCCCCCAGUAGCGGCGAGCGAACGGGGAGCAGCCCAGAGCCUGAAUCAGUGUGUGUGUUAGUGGAAGCGUCUGGAAAGGCGU
rnacentral:rRNA from 1 species